CAAGUGUUGCAAACAGAUGUUUACAUUUAUAUACAUACAUUCGUAUUCGUUGCUUUUUAUACUGAAUUCUGAAUUUAUUAUAACUUGCUAGAAUAUUAUAAAUACUACUAAUUUGUCCGAGUUUAAAGGGACGAUUACAGAAUUCCAAGAGUAUGGAAUACAGAUUAUCAGACUUCGUUAUCGUACUGGUAUUUCCGUGUUAUACGGCGAUACAAAUGAUUAUCGCAUCCUGGAAUGUGUAAUCGAUCAUAGAGGAGACGUUCCCCGCUGCUUAGGUCAUACAAACAAGGCUCAAUCGUUUCUUGGUUUCUCGCAUCUUGCUUGAUUUAUUAACUACGAACUAUAAAUUGUACACAAUCAGGGACGGGUUAACAUAUUGCAGUAUCAGAGACAGCGAAUACAGACUCUUUGGUUUAUCUUUUUAUCUUCUACGUUCACGAUGAUUUCGAUCAUCGAUCGCACGAUUCGCAAGAUCCCGAACAACGCUCGAGAAUGUUGGGCCCCGUGUAAAAUCCGCGGUCGAAUACAGUCGAAUCUAAUUUUAAUUGAUUCUAAUAUUAAUCGUGACGCACGCCGAAUGCGUGUCCCCCGAGAAAUAGAAUUCGUUUCUUGGCAUGAUCGGUCGGCGACGAUACAUCCAACUAGACUCCCAGAUAUCAGAGAUUAUUGUUAAGCUAUCGCGCUUAAGGGUAACGUUGAAAAUUACUGUCCACUUAAAUGUCGUCGGCAUCGUGCAACUGGAAGUAUUCGUACGAGAACUGAUCCACGACGAAAUACGUAAUAGGUUGCCAAUGAAUUUGAAUACCAAUUCGAAAAUAUGAUACGAUUCUUUGCUCGAAAUUAACCCUUUGGACUUGAUUGGCUUCUCAGACUUAUCCUCCUGAUACUGCCUAUAGUACAAAGGAUUGACUCUAAAAUCCAUUCGCAAAGUAUUUUAUUCGUAGUUCCUCGAGGAACGUCCUGUACUGUCUUUCAUAC